rnacentral:rRNA from 1 species
UGGACAAUGGGCGCAAGCCUGAUCCAGCCAUGCCGCGUGUGUGAAGAAGGCCUUCGGGUUGUAAAGCACUUUUGCUGGGGAGGAAGGCCUNNCGGUUAAUACCNNGNUGGNUUGACGUUACCCACAGAAUAAGCACCGGCUAACUUCGUGCCAGCAGCCGCGGUAAUACGGAGGGUGCAAGCGUUAAUCGGAAUUACUGGGCGUAAAGCGNGCGUAGGUGGUUUUUUAAGUCGGAUGUGAAAUCCCCGGGCUCAACCUGGGAACUGCAUUNNAAACUGGCAGGCUAGAG